GAUGAACGCUGGCGGCGUGCCUAAUACAUGCAAGUCGAGCGAACGGACGAGAAGCUUGCUUCUCUGAUGUUAGCGGCGGACGGGGGAGUAACACGUGGAUAACCUACCUAUAAGACUGGGAUAACUUCGGGAAACCGGAGCUAAUACCGGAUAAUAUUUUGAACCGCAUGGUUCAAAAGUGAAAGACUGUCUUGCUGUCACUUAUAGAUGGAUCCGCGCUGCAUUAGCUAGUUGGUAAGGUAACGGCUUACCAAGGCAACGAUGCAUAGCCGACCUGAGAGGGUGAUCGGCCACACUGGAACUGAGACACGGUCCAGACUCCUACGGGAGGCAGCAGUAGGGAAUCUUCCGCAAUGGGCGAAAGCCUGACGGAGCAACGCCGCGUGAGUGAUGAAGGUCUUCGGAUCGUAAAACUCUGUUAUUAGGGAAGAACAUAUGUGUAAGUACCUGUGCACAUAUUGACGGUACCUAAUCAGAAAGCCACGGCUAACUACGUG
rnacentral:rRNA from 1 species